ACUCAGCCCACAGGACAGAUAUGCAUAAUUACGGGCUCUGAAUACAGCAGGCACUGCGGGGAGCCCUGGCCCUCGGCAGCUCCAGAGAGCAGAGCAAGCUGGCUGGACCCAGCACACAGGUGUCACUGAGGGAGGUGACUUGGCAGAGCGGCCAGGCUCCUCCAUGGCCACUUAUAGCCCUCAGCGUUGCAGGGGUGCUCCUGGACCAGCCUCGUGUGUGUGAGGGGACUCUGGCCACACGUUGCCCCUGCAAAUGCCGCUCUCCCCCCGCGGCCACCCGGCCCCCUCUCGAGGUGCUCCUCAGUGGUGAGGCACUGGCUCUGCCCCCUCCUUGAAGGUCUUGCCUCUGGGCUCUGCCCCCUGGAUGCCAGACCUCCUAAGGACUGCCCCCGACCAGCUGAGCCCAUGCCUCGGGUAGAGAUGUCAGGUGAAAUUGUGGGUUAGACUAACACCACCCAGCCACUUUCCACCUGGGUCCAGGUGUGCCCCCCACCUCGUUUCUGUGGAUUCAGCAGCUCCAUGUCCCUGGCGCUCUGGGUUCCCCCUCGCCAUUACUAUGCUGAUACCGGG
rnacentral:lncRNA from 1 species